AUUAUUGUCAUAAAUGAUAAACAUUCUAUAAAUUUAGAAAUUCAGAUCUUUAAUUAUAAGUUUUAUUUAUUUAAGUGUUUUAUUUGAAGAAGAGCCUAAGCACGUUCUUAUGUAAUUGUAAUUAGCAAGCAAUAAACUGAAAAUUGAAUAGCAUUACAAAUGAGUAUUACGUUUCUUUGUGGGUAGUUGUAUUAGGUAGUAUAUUAGAAUUAUUACUAGUACAUUUAUCAUAAUCAUAUUGUGGAUAUAUGGAUCGGGAGUGUAUCACUAAUACGCAAUGUGCUGGACACCCAUGCAGAAGAAGAGUUCAAGAGUUGCCAACCUAUGCGAGUGUGUAUGAGGAGUGGGUUUACAAAGAGCUACAGGCACACACAGCUCAUCCACGCAGAGACGCACUCACACAAUAAAUCGAUAAUCGAAAAAGAAUCGAUGUUCAAUAAGCGAUUACACAAAAAUUGCAACCCUUCCGCUGGCAAAUGGCAAUGAAUCGUCGAGUUGGGCGCGGGCUGGCUGACAGACUGGACGAUGUCUUUGGACUGAUCGAGAAUUUUUGUCUGACAUUAGUUGAGUAUAAUUUCGACAAAAUCAAAAAUGGCAUUCCAUAACGUAAUUUACAGUUUACUCGUGAGAUAAAUGAAACUUCGAUCAAACUGUGCUGGGUGUAUGUAUAAUAGAAAGAGAAGAUUUAAAGGUGAUCAAACCGAAUUGCAGAGAAUAUCAUUCAAAAAAUUUGGAUCAACAUUUUCUUGGCAAAAUUACUUUUGAGUUUCGAAUUUCAGUUGAUCUCGCAAUCGAGGGUAUCCGCACUGCAGCUAUUGAGCAAAUUUUGUCAGCCGUAUCAAUAAAUAAACAAAUCAAAAAUUGUAACAAAAAAAUAAACAAAAAAAAUCAAAAAAAAGAAAACAAAUUAACUAAA